rnacentral:lncRNA from 1 species
GUGAGAGGAGCCUGGCGGCAUUUCUCCGUGUGUGUCUGUGCGUGCUUGUGCGCCUUUGUGUUUAAACGCAUGGUAAUUAUUAAGCCAAUUGUUCUCAACGACUACCAGCUUGCAUUUGAUAACAGACGGAGAUCUCGCCCUUUCUUAGCCAAUUGAUUCCGUCCAUGAAUUCAAAAAUAUUUUCGUGACCACAGACUUCGUAUCUCAUUUCCGGGCGGGCCGAUUGACGAUGAAAAUCGGGUCAUCUCUGGAGCUACGAACGGAACUACUCGGAAGUAAGUUCCUUUUAAUUGCUUCUGCUUUGGGAGUGGGGGGGGGGGGAGGAAAGAAGGGGACGACCAUACCGAGGAGCCUCUGCAUACGUUUACUUCGAAGUAAGCCCCAUUGAAUCCCCAGGUAAGCUCCCUGCCUCCAGGGAGUUACUGGAAUUUUCUGUCUCCCCCCUCACUUUCGCCCCCCCCCCACUGUUAGGCAGAAAGGGAAAAUGCCCUCGCUCUCCACAACACCCUUUAGUUAUUUCCCACCAAAAAAACACAUCACGCAUCAAGCGACAUCUCCCCUCCCAGGAGCCUCUGGCGCUCCUCAGCUCAGCCAGAAAUCGGGGGAGAAAGUACCCCCUGCCUAUCCCAGAAAACCCCUGAAUUAAAUCCCUCCCCGAGAGGGAGUGGAAUUUCUUCUCUUCCUUCUGCCCCGUCUAAUAAGAUAAAAGCCCGAGGGAAAGCGGGGAGGGGGCUCAUUUUUUCCUGAGAAAGGAAAAUAAUAAUAAUGAGAUUAUAUUUGGAGUAGGCAGUAAAUCACAGGGGGGCCUUGGACGUCCGGGGGUUGUGUUUCUGACGUAUCAAAGCAAAAGAAACACACAAAAAACACGGUAUCGCGGCCCUCCUUGGAAGGUAAGACCGAGAAACGACGUGGUGUGUGUGUGUGUGUGUGUGUGUGUGUGUGUGUGACAGAGAGACAGAGAGAGAGAGAGAGAGAGAGAGAGAGAGAGAGAGAGAGAAUACGCAAGGCCAGAGAAGAAAGCUGGCUCAAAAGAAGAAAACAUCGCUUUCCCAAGUUGCAGGUCUUAAAGCCCCAAAGCCAUAAAUUAACCGGCUGGACUUGUGGCAUCUCUCUCUCUCUUGAGGACUCUAUUAGAAAUGCCGGCGAGAGAUUCGAGCGGCUGACCCCAAAGGCGGGUGCGAGCAAACAGGGCUGUCUGGCUAGGAAUCCACAUCGCAAUCCACAAAAAAAGAAGCCCGACUCCUUUCCCCGCCCUUCCCGUCGAGGGGCGUCUCUUUCCGCGUUGCUCCCCGCUCCGCCCCCCCCUCCGCCUGGUUUCCCUGUAAAGUAGGCAGGCAGCGUUUGAAGGGAGAUCUUGGCACGCCCCCCCCCUCCCGCGUGCGUGUGUGGAUGGACAGAAGUGGGCCUGUAAGAAGAGCGGAUGUUUUGAAAGUUUUAUGAAUAUAGACGGGCUAUUGAUUGCCUUCAGGAGCUCGGCUUGGCUGAACCCAGCACGUUUCGUCGGGGAAGGAAUUAAAAGCUGGAAGGAGAAAAAAGCCAAGAGACUUGGGCGGCUUCUUGAUGUUUCUGCAGCUGCAAACGGCGAGCGGCUGCCUAUUCCUCCAUCUUCCCGGGCAUUCGCCUGCUCCUGAGGACGGAAAGAAAGAAAGAUCGCCUCCUCUCCUUCUAGGAUUACUGGAUCAAUAAACUAAGAUUGCUAUAUUUAAAGCUUGUAUGUACACACACUUGGGGGGUGUUAGCUUCGUUGAACACGGGGGGGGGGGGGCUUAUCUCCGAGGAAACGCGCUUAGGAUCGGGGCACACUUCAGGCAUCCAAAAGCACGAAGAGAAUUCAGUUUUGGGUCUCUCUUUGUCCCUCGCCUGUAAAACUGUUAGGAUUACGUUCCUGGAAAUACACUUCCCAAUUUAGCGGUGUUAUUGUUUGCUGUUGUUUUACAGCUUCGGUUCUUCGGCAUUUUAACAGUCUGCACUUAAAGGAAGGUAAAACGUCAAAGUGAGCUUGAAGAGCUAACAGAUAAUAAAGGGAAGAAAAACCAGAGGAACAGAAUCCGCGAAUGCCAGGGAAUUUAUUUCGGGAAGGACAAAACGUACUUGCAAGGAUUAGGGGAGGGACGAGGAGAACUUUUCUUUGGGUUGUUAAAUGGAUUAAAAAUGUAAAUUGUGCAUUGCAUUCCCACUAGCACGAUAUACACACCCACCCGCUGGGGGUUUCACCAGGGCAACAACUUUAACUAUAUUUUAUCCAGCUCUAUCUACAAGACUUCCAAACUUUGGACACGGGAAAUGAAGUACGUAUAUAAUCUCUGAAUUGUUCCCAAAUUGUGUUAUUUCAUUGACGGUCAAUGAAUAUCGCUGA